AAAGAUUAAGCCAUGCAUGUCUAAGUAUAAGCAAUUUGUACUGUGAAACUGCGAAUGGCUCAUUAAAUCAGUUAUCGUUUAUUUGAUAGUACCUUACUACAUAGAUACCUGUGGUAAUUCUAGAGCUAAUACAUGCUAAAAACCUCGACUUCGGAAGGGGUGUAUUUAUUAGAUAAAAAACCAAUGCCCUUCGGGGCUCCUUGGUGAAUCAUAAUAACUUAGCGAAUCGCAUGGCCUUGCGCCGGCGAUGGUUCAUUCAAAUUUCUGCCCUAUCAGCUUUCGAUGGUAGGAUAGUGGCCUACCAUGGUGGCAACGGGUAACGGGGAAU
rnacentral:rRNA from 1 species